rnacentral:rRNA from 1 species
CCCUAAAGACUGGGAUACCACUUGGAAACAGGUGCUAAUACCGGAUAACAACAUGAAUCGCAUGAUUCAAGUUUGAAAGGCGGCGUAAGCUGUCACUUUAGGAUGAGCCCGCGGCGCAUUAGCUAGUUGGUGGGGUAAAGGCCUACCAAGGCAAUGAUGCGUAGCCGAGUUGAGAGACUGAUCGGCCACAUUGGGACUGAGACACGGCCCAAACUCCUACGGGAGGCAGCAGUAGGGAAUCUUCCACAAUGGACGCAAGUCUGAUGGAGCAACGCCGCGUGAGUGAAGAAGGUUUUCGGAUCGUAAAGCUCUGUUGUUGGUGAAGAAGGAUAGAGGCAGUAACUGGUCUUUAUUUGACGGUAAUCAACCAGAAAGUCACGGCUAACUACGUGCCAGCAGCCGCGGUAAUACGUAGGUGGCAAGCGUUGUCCGGAUUUAUUGGGCGUAAAGCGAGCGCAGGCGGAAUGAUAAGUCUGAUGUGAAAGCCCACGGCUCAACCGUGGAACUGCAUCGGAAACUGUCAUUCUUGAGUGCAGAAGAGGAGAGUGGAAUUCCAUGUGUAGCGGUGGAAUGCGUAGAUAUAUGGAAGAACACCAGUGGCGAAGGCGGCUCUCUGGUCU